ensembl:lncRNA
UUAUUGAAGAUAAAGUACAGCCUCAAGUACCUGGUUGCUUUUAUAACACGGUUACCAGCGAAAUGAUAAAAAGUAAGUAAAUAGUUGUGUCCACCAAACAAAUAGUCCGUACGUGCAGUAAACAGCAUCGGGUCCAUCUCAUUCAUUCACAUCGCUCAUGACGUCCACCUUCAUUGUCCGGUUGUGAAAACUCGCAUUGCCCCAAACCGAUCAAACCGAUCAAAUGGAUCAAACCGAUCAAAUGGAUCAAAUGGAUCAAACCGAUCAAAUGGAUCAAAGUGAUCAAAGUGAUCAAACCACCGAGCUAAAUGCUAACAUGUCAACUAACGGCCGCACAAGCUGUAACUUGUUGCUGCGCAGUGAUGCGGAUCAAUCGGGUCAAUGUGAACAGGUUCUGUACGUUAUCGCCCAAUAAUGAAGCCUCGUGACUCGCUCUCAACCAAUCACAGCGCUGGAUUUCAUCCACCGUAUUAUAAUGCUUGUUAGUGGUUUGCUUACUAACUUCUAACAUUGUUAAGCGAUUUUCUAACUGGUGGCAUUUAUGUGUUAGUCGCGUGGCUCUAUCCGGGCCGUAGAAUAGAACUACUUGGUUCGCUUAACAGUCACUUCAGCGUGUUAGUUAAUUAGCUGUGAGAUUUAUCCACAAUGUUCGGCUGGUGAGAGGGACACACCAGUAAAACCAGUCACACCAUAACAACAGUAGCACCAGUCCAAACCAUGACAGCAGAAAUACCUGUAAUACCACUACCACCAUAAACAGCAGUAGAGCCAUACAUACCAGUAACAACCGUGACACCAUUAGCACCAGUAAAACCAGUAGCACCAGUGAGACCAGCAGCAGCGCCGCUCUGAGUCCAAGUCAGUGACGUAUUUCAACCACGUUUACACUCUUUCAUCUUUUAAACUAACCGACGUCUCUGAGCUCUUCUUCUUCUGCGGAAACAAUGCGGCUUCUUCUUCUUCUUCUUCUUCUUCGUGUGGUUUUCCCGGAGCAGAAACAUCUGCUCGCGCCUGUGAACGUGUCUGCGUCCCGCCUCGUGUGGAACGUCCCAAAACACAGAGAGAGGUCACGUGUCACUGCGGCGGACGCUCUCACUGACGCCCAGUCGCCCAUCGGGGGGGGCUCUGCUGUACCUGGCGCUCACCUGGGGCGAAACGAGAGAAGAGGAAAGGAAAGGAAGGACAGGACGGGGGAUAUUAGAAGUAGGAAGGAAGUGAGGAGAAAGUGGGAGUGGAUGAAAGAAGGGAAUAGAAAAGAAGAAGGAAGGAGGGGAGUGAAUGAAAUAAGUACAGAAGGAACGAGACAAACAGAGUCUGUGUGUUUAUACCUGUGGGGGUUCUUACAUAUUUCUAGUUCAGGGUCACUGAUAUCAUGGAGGACUCUGUGCUGGAGCGAUACUUCCAGAAGAACUCCUCCAGGGCGGAGGCAGAGGAGGCGUUCAUGGACCUGCUACCUGACGAGCUCCUGA